rnacentral:rRNA from 1 species
UGGGGAAUUUUGGACAAUGGGCGCAAGCCUGAUCCAGCAAUGCCGCGUGCAGGAAGAAGGCCUUCGGGUUGUAAACUGCUUUUGUACGGAACGAAACGGUCCUGGUUAAUACCUGGGGCUAAUGACGGUACCGUAAGAAUAAGCACCGGCUAACUACGUGCCAGCAGCCGCGGUAAUACGUAGGGUGCGAGCGUUAAUCGGAAUUACUGGGCGUAAAGCGUGCGCAGGCGGUUAUAUAAGACAGAUGUGAAAUCCCCGGGCUCAACCUGGGAACUGCAUUUGUGACUGUAUAGCUAGAGUACGGCAGAGGGGGAUGGAAUUCCGCGUGUAGCAGUGAAAUGCGUAGAUAUGCGGAGGAACACCGAUGGCGAAGGCAAUCCCCUGGGCCUGUACUGACGCUCAUGCACGAAAGCGUGGGGAGCAAACAGGAUUAGAUACCCUCGUAGUCCCUGAGCGGGCUGGCAAGGCGCAU